ensembl:snoRNA SNORD36 Small nucleolar RNA SNORD36
UUGCGAUGAUGUGACUUUUCCACUGAAGUGACCUUGAAGUGCAGAUCCAUGAGCUUUUUAACCCUGAGCAGU